rnacentral:misc_RNA from 1 species
GGAAUAUUGCACAAUGGGCGCAAGCCUGAUGCAGCCAUGCCGCGUGUAUGAAGAAGGCCUUAGGGUUGUAAAGUACUUUCAGCGGGGAGGAAGGCGAUAAGGUUAAUAACCUUGUCGAUUGACGUUACCCGCAGAAGAAGCACCGGCUAACUCCGUGCCAGCAGCCGCGGUAAUACGGAGGGUGCAAGCGUUAAUCGGAAUUACUGGGCGUAAAGCGCACGCAGGCGGUCUGUCAAGUCGGAUGUGAAAUCCCCGGGCUCAACCUGGGAACUGCAUUCGAAACUGGCAGGCUAGAGUCUUGUAGAGGGGGGUAGAAUUCCAGGUGUAGCGGUGAAAUGCGUAGAGAUCUGGAGGAAUACCGGUGGCGAAGGCGGCCCCCUGGACAAAGACUGACGCUCAGGUGCGAAAGCGUGGGGAGCAAACAGGA